rnacentral:tRNA from 1 species
GGGCCCGUAGUCUAGCUUGGAUAGGACGUGGGGCUUCGGACCCCAAGACUCCGGUUCAAAUCCGGGCGGGCUCG